rnacentral:rRNA from 1 species
AUUGAACGCUGGCGGUAUGCUUAACACAUGCAAGUCGAACGGCAGCACGGUAGAGCUUGCUCUAUGGGUGGCGAGUGGCGGACGGGUGAGUAAUGCAUCGGGACCUACCCAGACGUGGGGGAUAACGUAGGGAAACUUACGCUAAUACCGCAUACGUCCUAAGGGAGAAAGCGGGGGAUCGCAAGACCUCGCGCGGGUGGAUGGACCGAUGUGCGAUUAGCUAGUUGGUAAGGUAAUGGCUUACCAAGGCGACGAUCGCUAGCUGGUCUGAGAGGAUGAUCAGCCACACUGGGACUGAGACACGGCCCAGACUCCUACGGGAGGCAGCAGUGGGGAAUAUUGGACAAUGGGCGCAAGCCUGAUCCAGCAAUACCGCGUGUGUGAAGAAGGCCCUCGGGUUGUAAAGCACUUUUAUCAGGAACGAAAUCUGCAAGGUUAAUACCCGUGCAGUCUGACGGUACCUGAGGAAUAAGCACCGGCUAACUCCGUGCCAGCAGCCGCCGUAA